rnacentral:RNase_P_RNA from 1 species
CAAGCAAUUGAAACUAUCGCCCCGCACCCUUCAGUCCAUGGAGAUGAUUAAAAAUAUAUUAUGUGUACUUUUAAUAUACAUCUUGUGAGUUGAAGGGUGCGGGGAGGAAAGUCCAGGCACCGUAGAGCAGGAAAGUUGACGUAAGUCAACCGGCCGUGAGGCUAGGGAAAGUGGAACAGAAAUACACAGCGGAAGGCGUAGUUAGCCACGCGAAGGUGAAAUCGUGUGGUAAGAGCACACGUAGCAUAUGGCGACAUAUGCCGAAUCCAAACCCUUUCCGGUGCAAGGUGGAAGGGUCUGAGUAUCAUCAAACUGGCUGCUCGUCAGGAUGACCACGGAUCCCACCGCUCAGACAGAUGAUAGUUUAAACAGAACCUGGCUUAUCAGUUGCUUGGGGC